rnacentral:rRNA from 1 species
AUGGAGGAGGACGCGGUCGCGGCUGCUGCUUCUGCGGUGGCGCCCGACUCGUGGGAGACGGCCGACCUCGACGGGGCCAUGAGCCGCCUGCUCCUCUCCUCCUCCUCCUCCUCCUCCGGUGGCGCGGCGCGAAGGGUCUCCUCCUCGCCCGACCUCGCCGACGACCGCCAGGCGGACGCGCAGCAGGAGGAGGGGCAGCAGCAGCGGGCCGACGAUCCGGCCGCGCAGGUCGACCAGUUCCUCCGCGAGGCCCUCGAGAAGCCCCGCGAGCGCCUCCAAGUGCUGCGGAUGGAGCAAGACAUUCUCAAGUUCCUUCGUGACCCUGGACAGACGCAGUUUGAGUUCCAGGGUCUUCCGACUUCGUACCUGCGUCUCGCUGCACACCGUCUGGCACAGCAUUAUUUCCUGAUAUCAAUCGCCCUGCCGGAUAACAGCCUGCCUGAUGGCACCAGUUCGCGGAUCAUCCUUCGCAAAACGUCGGCUGAGUGCCGAUUGCCUGCUGUCCGCCUAGCUGAUAUUCCAGUUAAUCUCCCUCAAGAAGAGAGCAGCGCUGUGGCCACCAAAGUAGCUAUUAAGCAAAGGCCUCAGAAGAAUCACCAUGGCGGUGCAGGCGCAGGUGCCAACUCUAACAGAGGCAACCUUCAGAAAAGCGUCGAGGAGAGGAAAGAGGAAUACAACAGGGCACGUGCUCGCAUAUUUAACAGCAGUAGUGGUAGCACUAGUCCGGUUGAUGGAAGACCAGCUGAUGAAGUGGUUUUGCCCAACACCCUACAUAGGUCCACUUCCUUGGAGUUGAACUCAAACACCAGGUUCGGUGAAUUGACUGAAGCUACCCUCGAAAGGAGUUUGACUAGCACUGCAUCUAGCAGCAGAUCAAAUAAUAGAAGCAGGAUUGACAAGGAGCCUCCAGUCAAUAGGGGCAGGCAAGGCAAUAGGGUGGCGAUAUUUCGAGACCGUGACUCUGAUCGCAAGGAUCCUGAUUAUGACAGAAGCUAUGACAGGUACAUGCAAAGAUUUGAUCCUGGAUUUGGAUUCAAUGGCGGCGCGUACACCAUUCAACCUCUGUAUGCUCCUGCUGUUACCUACAACACUGAGUUCCCCCAGCUUGGGUCACCACAAAUGUCUCCUGUUCCUGUUGAACAGCAGCAGCCUCAUCCAAUGGCUCAGCACAUGCCUGGGCCCUGGUCGCCGGCUCAAUCACCUAAUGCAGUUGGCUACAGGCCUCCAGAUGGUGUUAUGCCACCCUACAGUCCUGGUCAAGCUGGUGCUCCUGUCAGGUCUUCUGUUUUCAUGCAUGCUUCCCAGCAAUAUGCCAUGCCUUCACGCCCAGGAGUCACAUUUGUACAUCCACAGGAUUCCAUGCGACCAUUUGCACAGACACACCACCAACAACAAUCUGAAGCUAGUCUACGCUUAGCCCGGCCCCGGUGA